rnacentral:miRNA from 1 species
AAUAGUAGGUUGGUGCAAAAGUAAUUGUGUUUUUUUCAUAAAAGGAAUGGCCAAGGCCGGGCACCAUGGCUCACACCU